GCCACCAUAAAGUAAUAGUUAUCGAACCACUAAAAUUUCGUAGCAGAGAAGAACCUUGACUUAAAGUCAGCUUAUAUCCUGAGUUCAGCUAUAGUAUAAAUGUGCAAGCGUGCCUAGGAUUUCAACUCACAACCUAUGCAUUCCACCUGAUCUAACUUCUGAAAACAAACUCGCUGAAAGAAUUAACAAAAAUAACACUUCCUGCUGGAUCGUGACUAAAACACCACACGAGUACAUACGAGUAACAUACGAGUAAAACACAAGUACAUACGAGUACAUACGAGUAGAAUACGAGUACAUACUAGUAAAUUACGACUAGUAAACUUGUUUUUAGUGUUUGUAGAUUGAAUACAGGCAAAAAGAUCGUCUUCUCUGUCGAAAAACGUGGAAUGGUGGAACGGGGAAUGGAGGAACAGGGAAUGGGG